GGGGGUGCCCAGGCUUCGACAGGGAUGAAUCAACGAAUUGAGUGCGUGUCUAGGUUGGUCGGAAGGCCUAGUAAAAAUCCGACCAAACUUUAUCUGGCGAAGAAAACUUUGCUAUGGCUGCCUAGUCGAACGACUACUGCAACAUUGAGGGGCUAGUCCCAAGAAACAGAAACUAGCACAGCAGGUUCUUGGUCCUGGUUAAAAAAAUCAAGGGAGAGUUGGCCGGGAGAACGCCUUACAAAUCACCGGGUUUUUUUACUUUGACAAAAGUAUAACGGCCGCUUCAAGCCUCAGCGAAGCUACACACGUAGGACUCUCUUUCAGCGGCAUCUUUGGACGCGGGUUCGAUUCCCGCCACCUCCACCA
rnacentral:tmRNA from 1 species